GCACUAGUAGCUCAGGAAAGAGAGCGUCGGUCUUGUAAACCGGAAGCCGGAGGUUAGUUCCUCCCUAAUGCU
rnacentral:tRNA from 1 species